rnacentral:rRNA from 1 species
AUGUCGAGCUCCACUUCAGCCUCCCGCCCCUCUUGGACACAGUAUGGUCCACUUCCCAUGGAGCGAUGUCCUGACUGCCCACGCAGCGCACCACUGAUACAGUUGACUUCGAAGGAGGUCAAGAAUGGCAACUAUGGGCGCGAGUUCAUGAAAUGCGAGAGCAAGCCAGAGGGGCAGAUCGUGAAGAAAUGCACACAUUUUGAAUGGCUGGAUGACUACGUUAAGCGGAUUCAAUUCAAUGGGGCCCCAACCCAGGAGCUCAAUCUGCCGGCGGCACCAAUGAAUUGGUCUCUGAAAGUGCUGCUCUGA